AUUGAACGCUGGCGGCAUGCCUUACACAUGCAAGUCGAACGGCAGCGGGGGAGAAGCUUGCUUUUCCUGCCGGCGAGUGGCGAACGGGUGAGUAAUACAUCGGAACGUGCCCUGUAGUGGGGGAUAACUAGUCGAAAGAUUAGCUAAUACCGCAUACGACCUGAGGGUGAAAGUGGGGGACCGCAAGGCCUCAUGCUAUAGGAGCGGCCGAUGUCUGAUUAGCUAGUUGGUGGGGUAAAGGCCUACCAAGGCGACGAUCAGUAGCUGGUCUGGGAGGACGAUCAGCCACACUGGGACUGAGACACGGCCCAGACUCCUACGGGAGGCAGCAGUGGGGAAUUUUGGACAAUGGGCGAAAGCCUGAUCCAGCAAUGCCGCGUGUGUGAAGAAGGCCUUCGGGUUGUAAAGCACUUUUGUCCGGAAAGAAAUGGCUCUGGUUAAUACCUGGGGUCGAUGACGGUACCGGAAGAAUAAGGACCGGCUAACUACGUGCCAGCCGCCGCAGUAAUAC
rnacentral:rRNA from 1 species